rnacentral:rRNA from 1 species
GCGAAACGUUAGCGGCGGGCCUAACACAUGCAAGUCGAGCGAGAAAAAGGGGCUUCGGCCCCCGAGUAAAGCGGCGGACGGGUGAGGAACACGUAGGUAAUCUGCCCUUCGAUGGAGGACAACGGUCCGAAAAGGACCGCUAAUACUGCAUACGUUUCCCCGGGACCUCGGGCCUGGGGAGGAAAAGCCUCGCAAGGGGCGUCGGAGGAGGAGCCUGCGUCGCAUCAGCUAGUUGGUGGGGUAAUGGCCUACCAAGGCCGAAGACGCGUAGCUGGUCUGAGAGGAUGAUCAGCCACACUGGGACUGAAUGGACACGGCCCCAGACUCCUACGGGAGGCAGCAGUGGGGAAUAUUGGACAAUGGGCGAAAGCCUGAUCCAGCCCACGCCGCGUGAGUGAUGAAGGCCUUCGGGGUCGUAAAGCUCUGUGGGGAGGGACGAAUUGCCGGGUUGAAGAGCCCGGAAGUGACGGUACCUCCCUUAGCAAGCACCGGCUAACUUCGUGCCAGCAGCCGCGGUAAUACGAAGGGUGCAAACGUUGCUCGGAAUCAUUGGGCGUAAAAGCGCACGUAGGCGGCCCUGUAAGUCGGAUGUGAAAUCCCUCGGCUCAACCGAGGGACGUGCAUCCCGAAAACUGCAGAGCUCGAGUAUGGAAGAGGGUCGCGGAAUUCCCGGUGUAGAGGUGAAAUUCGUAGAUAUCGGGAGGAACACCAGUGGCGAAGGCGGCGACCCUGGGCCAAUAACUGACGCUGAGGUGCGAAAAGCGUGGGGGAGCAAACAGGAUUAGAUACCCUGGUAGUCCAACGCCGGUAAACGAUGAGUGCUAGGUGCUGCGGGUAUUGACCCCUGCGGUGGCCGUAGCUAACGCGUUAAGCACUCCGCCUGGGGAGUACGGGCCGCAAGGCUAAAACUCAAAGGAAUUGACGGGGGCCCCGCACAAGCGGUGGAGCAUGUGGUUCAAUUCGACGCAACGCGCAGAACCCUUACCUGGGUUAAAUCCACCAGAAACCUUGCAGAGAUGCGGGGGUGCCCUUCGGGGAACUGGUGAGAAGGUGCUGCAUGGCUGUCGUCAGCUCGUGUCGUGAGAUGUUGGGUUAAGUCCCGCAAACGAGCGCAAACCUCUGUCGUUAGUUGCCAGUAUUGAGUUGGGGCACUCUAACGAGGGACUGCCGCCGUCAAGGCGGAGGAAGGCGGAGAUGACCGUCAAGUCCUCAUGGCCCCUUAUGUCCAGGGCUACACACGUGCUACAAUGGGUGCUACAAAGGGGUCGCAAAGCCGCGAGGUGGAGCCAAUCUCAAAAAAAGCAUCCUCAGUUCGGAUUGCAGUCUGCAACUCGACUGCAUGAAGCUGGAAUCGCUAGUAAUCCCUGAUCAGCAGGCAGGGGUGAAUACGUUCCCGGGGCCUUGUACACACCGCCCGUCACAACCAUGGGAGUCAGUUGCUCUAGAAGUCGGUGCGCCAACCUUAGUAGAGGCAGCCGCCUAAAGAGUGACUGGUGACUGGGGUG